rnacentral:lncRNA from 1 species
UCUAAAACAAAAAGUAGCUUCUUAAAGUUAUGUUUGAGUGAAGUGAUGUGUUCUACUGAAAGGAGUCUAGUCUGACUUUCAAAUUGACUUUCAUCCCUUUGUAGGUAUAAACAGUUGGAUAUUUGUUUGAUCUUCAUCUCAUUAUAAAGUUUCUAUCUUAAAAGCUGAUUUCCAUUUGCUUCCUGUUCAUGAGUGCCAACAAUCAAGGUUCUGAAUCAUUUCUAAAUGCUUUGCAUCAGGAUGUGAACAAUUUGCUUGCUAUGGACACAAGCCCCCUGAUAAGAGCUUCUCAUCAUUCAAGACCAACAACAAAAAGAAAAGCAUCAGAUUUAUUGCUCUACCUAUCAGAAAGUAACUCUUAAAAUCUGUCAUUUGUUCUCUACAUUUGAGUAAUUCCUUUUAUUUUCACAUUUUUUGGCUGACUUAACACUAUGAUCAAAUUCUCCUCAGCUUUCUUUCGUGCAAAGUUUGCAUUCACAUUUUCUUUAUCCUCUUUCUUAAAAUGAUAAUUCUUUUAUUUCUUUUGGGAAUAUUUAAUGAGGUCAUAUUCAAACACGAUACAAUAUAAAAAGAUGAUCAGUAGAAAUUCCUUGUAGGAUUUUUAUUCCUUCAACCACUUUUCAG